UUAAAAAGCUCGUAGUUGGAUUUCUUUUCUUUGUCGCCGGAGGCCUUCUUCUAGUUGGUUCACCAGUUACAGGGGAAAACAUUUGUCGCAACACGUCGCGUUGCCUGUUAUGGGUAACAGUCGUUAAGUGACUCGUUUACUUUGAGAAAAUUAGAGUGUUCAAAGCAGGCAAUCGCCUUGAAUAUGUUAGCAUGGAAUAAUAACAUAGGACUUUAGUUCUAUUUGUUGGUUGUUCGAGAACUGAAGUAAUGAUUGAUAGGGACGGUUGGGGGCAUCUGUAUUCUCAAGCGAGAGGUGAAAUUCUUGGACCUUGGGAAGACAAACAGCUGCGAAAGCGUUUGCCUAGGACGUUCUCUUUAAUCAAGAACGAAAGUUGGGGGAUCGAAGACGAUCAGAUACCGUCGUAGUCUCAACUAUAAACUAUGCCAGCUAGGGAUCAGUGGGUCUUUUUACGAGUCCAUUGGCACCUUACGAGAAAUCAAAGCAUUUGGGUUCCGGGGGGAGUAUGGUCGCAAGGCUGAAACUUAAAGGAAUUGACGGAAGGGCACCACCAGGAGUGGAGCCUGUGGCUUAA
rnacentral:rRNA from 1 species